rnacentral:lncRNA from 1 species
UGAGAUAGUUUAUUUGUUGCUAAGUGAAUGCAUUCAUGAAGAUUGAGGGAGGAGCUUGUCUUGUUUUCAUGAAGGUGGAGAAGAGAUAUUACUAAGAUUCCACUUCCUGCAUUGUUCCAUUUGUUUUCGUUCACUUUUUUGUUUUAUUAAUGUGCCACAUGUCAUUAUUCGAUUGAAUGGUUUUGAUUAUUUUUUUCUAUUUUGUUGAAACUUACUUUUCCAUAUUUUUAGGUACUUUAUAUUUUAUAUUUUAGUU